UACGUAGGGGGCAAGCGUUGUUCGGAGUUACUGGGCGUAAAGGGUGUGUAGGCGGUUGUUUAAGUUUGGUGUGAAAUCUCCCGGCUCAACUGGGAGGGUGCGCCGAAUACUGAAUGACUAGAGUGCGGGAGAGGAAAGUGGAAUUCCUGGUGUAGCGGUGAAAUGCGUAGAUAUCAGGAGGAACACCGGUGGUGUAGACGGCUUUCUGGACCGUAACUGACGCUGAGACACGAAAGCGUGGGUAGCAAACAGG
rnacentral:rRNA from 1 species